rnacentral:tRNA from 1 species
AGGUAAUGUGGCCGAGUGAGGCGGCAGGUUGUAGCCCUGUGCAGGCGGGUGCCAGUCCCGUCCUUAUCAA